rnacentral:rRNA from 1 species
UACAGAGGGGGCAAGCGUUGUUCGGAAUUACUGGGCGUAAAGCGCGUGUAGGCUGCUUGGAAAGUCGGAUGUGAAAGCCCUGGGCUCAACCUAGGAAGUGCAUUCGAAACUUCUGAGCUUGAGUGUCGGAGAGGAAGGCGGAAUUCUCGGUGUAGAGGUGAAAUUCGUAGAUAUCGAGAGGAACACCUGUGGCGAAGGCGGCCUUCUGGACGACAACUGACGCUGAGACGCGAAAGCGUGGGGAGCAAACAGG